rnacentral:rRNA from 1 species
UACGUAGGGUGCAGGCGUUAAUCGGAAUUACUGGGCGUAAAGCGUGCGCAGGCGGCUCCUUAAGUCAGAUGUGAAAGCCCCGGGCUUAACCUGGGAACUGCGUUUGAAACUGGGGAGCUAGAGUGUAGAAGAGGGGGGUGGAAUUCCAGGUGUAGCAGUGAAAUGCGUAGAUAUCUGGAGGAACACCGAUGGCGAAAGCAGCCCCCUGGGCUAACACUGACGCUCAUGCACGAAAGCGUGGGGAGCAAACAGG